rnacentral:rRNA from 1 species
GACGAACGCUGGCGGCGUGCUUAACACAUGCAAGUCGAACGGAAAGUCCCUGCUUUUGUGGGUUGCUCGAGUGGCGAACGGGUGAGUAACACGUGAUUAACCUGCCCUUGACUUUGGUAUAACUUCAGGAAACUGGGGCUAAUACCGGCUAGGAGCUCCUGCUUCAUGGUGGGGGUUGGAAAGUUUCGGCGGUUGGGGAUGGACUCGCGGCUUAUCAGCUUGUUGGUGGGGUAGUGGCUUACCAAGGCUUUGACGGGUAGCCGGACUGAGAGGGUGACCGGCCACAUUGGGACUGAGAUACGGCCCAGACUCCUACGGGAGGCAGCAGUGGGGAAUAGUGCAAAAUGGGCGGAAGCCUGAUGCAGCAACGCCGCGUGCGGGAUGACGGCCUUCGGGUUGUAAACCGCGUUCGCCUGUGACGAAGCGUGAGUGACGGUAAUGGGUAAAGAAGCAACGGCUAACUACGUG